AAUCUGUAUUUUUAAUCAAAUAAAUUCAGCUUUGAUGAGCAUAAGAGACUUCUUUAAAAAACAUUACAAGUCUCACUGACUCCAGACUUUUGAGCGUUAGUGUACAUCCGGCUGACAAACUCUAGAAAAGAAAAAUAAUUUUAUUAAAAAUAAAACGUCUUUCGAUUACUGUAUCUGUUAUUAUAUCGUGUUUUAUCUAAACAGAAGCUGAAAUAUGAGAGUUGUUUUCUGUGCAAGAAGAGAAGUUUGGAACAACGUUGGACACUUGUGACCGAGAAAAUAAAUAAUUAACCCCUUUAAAAUAAUCACAUGUUGCUUUGCAACCUGAAAUGAGAUCGACAUGCACAGUUUUUGUUUGUAUUUGCUGAAAACUGUCCUCAAGCCAGAAACUCCUGUUGAUUCACCUGUCGGUCAUUACCAUUUCACCUAGAAUACAUCUAACAUCUGAUAAACUCCUUAAAGCACAUUUAAAUACAUUUCUAUAUCUUU